GGGAUGUUGAUCCUAGAGAUAGGACGUCCCCUUCGGGGGCAGAGUGACAGGUGGUGCAUGGUUGUCGUCAGCUCGUGUCGUGAGAUGUUGGGUUAAGUCCCGCAACGAGCGCAACCCUUGAUCUUAGUUGCCAGCAUUCAGUUGGGCACUCUAAGGUGACUGCCGGUGACAAACCGGAGGAAGGUGGGGAUGACGUCAAAUCAUCAUGCCCCUUAUGACCUGGGCUACACACGUGCUACAAUGGACAGAACAAAGGGCAGCGAAACCGCGAGGUUAAGCCAAUCCCACAAAUCUGUUCUCAGUUCGGAUCGCAGUCUGCAACUCGACUGCGUGAAGCUGGAAUCGCUAGUAAUCGCGGAUCAGCAUGCCGCGGUGAAUACGUUCCCGGGCCUUGUACACACCGCCCGUCACACCACGAGAGUUUGUAACACCCGAAGUCGGUGAGGUAACCUUUUAGGAGCCAGCCGCCGAAGGUGGGACAGAUGAUUGGGGUGAAGUCGUAACAGGGUAGCCGUAUUGUAC
rnacentral:rRNA from 1 species